UACAGAGGUCCCAAGCGUUGUUCGGAUUCACUGGGCGUAAAGGGUGCGUAGGUGGUUGGGCAAGUCUGAUGUGAAAUCUCCGGGCUUAACCCGGAAAUGGCAUUGGAAACUGCCCGGCUAGAGUGUUGGAGGGGGGACUGGAAUUCCCAGUGUAGCGGUGAAAUGCGUAGAUAUUGGGAAGAACACCGGUGGCGAAGGCGGCCAUCUGGACCGGAACUGACGCUGAGGCGCGAAAGCCAGGGGAGCGAAUGGG
rnacentral:rRNA from 1 species